rnacentral:rRNA from 1 species
CCUACGGGGGGCUGCAGUGAGGAAUAUUGGUCAAUGGGCGGGAGCCUGAACCAGCCAAGCCGCGUGAGGGAAGAAGGUACAGCGUAUCGUAAACCUCUUUUGUCAGGGAACAAAGGCGGGGACUAGUCCCCGGAUGAGGGUACCUGAAGAAAAAGCAUCGGCUAACUCCGUGCCCGCAGCCGCGGUAAUACGGAGGAUGCGAGCGUUAUCCGGAUUUAUUUGGGUUAAAGGGUGCGCAGGCGGCCUGUUAAGUCAGCGGUAAAAGUCCGGGGCUCAACCCCGGCGAGCCGUUGACACUGGCGGUCUGGAGUUGGAGAGAAGUACGUGGAAUGCGCGGUGUAGCGGUGAAAUGCUUAGAUAUCGCGCAGAACCCCGAUUGCGAAGGCAGCAUACCGGCUCCACACUGACGCUGAGGCACGAAAGCGUGGGGAUCGAACAGGAUUAGAUACCCGGGUAGUC